rnacentral:rRNA from 1 species
CACUCCUACGGGAGGCAGCAGUGGGGAAUAUUGCACAAUGGGCGGAAGCCUGAUGCAGCAACGCCGCGUGCGGGAUGACGGCCUUCGGGUUGUAAACCGCUUUCGCCUGUGACGAAGCGUGAGUGACGGUAAUGGGUAAAGAAGCACCGGCUAACUACGUGCCAGCAGCCGCGGUGAUACGUAGGGUGCGAGCGUUGUCCGGAUUUAUUGGGCGUAAAGGGCUCGUAGGUGGUUGAUCGCGUCGGAAGUGUAAUCUUGGGGCUUAACCCUGAGCGUGCUUUCGAUACGGGUUGACUUGAGGAAGGUAGGGGAGAAUGGAAUUCCUGGUGGAGCGGUGGAAUGCGCAGAUAUCAGGAGGAACACCAGUGGCGAAGGCGGUUCUCUGGGCCUUUCCUGACGCUGAGGAGCGAAAGCGUGGGGAGCGAACAGGCUUAGAAACCCUAGUAGUCCC